UACGAAGGGGGCUAGCGUUGCUCGGAAUCACUGGGCGUAAAGCGCACGUAGGCGGAUUGCUAAGUCAGGGGUGAAAUCCUGGAGCUCAACUCCAGAACUGCCUUUGAUACUGGCGACCUUGAGUCCGGGAGAGGGAUGCAGAAUUCCAGGUGUAGCGGUGAAAUGCGUAGAUAUCUGGAGGAAUACCGGUGGCGAAGGCGGCAUCCUGGACCGGCAUUGACGCUGAGGAGCGAAAGCCAGGGGAGCAAACGGG
rnacentral:rRNA from 1 species